ACCAUUUCAAUCAUUUUGAGUGUAUAGUUCAUUGAUGUUAAGUAUGUUUACAUUGUUGUGCCACCAUCAUCACCAUCCAUCUCCAGAACUCUUUCAUCUUCCUAAAUAGAAACUCUGCACCCAUUCAACCCUUAACUCCCCAUUUCCCUCCACUCCCUCCAGCCCCUGGUAACAACCAUUCUACGUUCUAACUGUUUUAUUUUUAAAUUUAGACAUAUAGUUGAUACUCAGAAGCUUAACAUUCCUUAUAUGAAAGUCUUCACCAAGCUACUUGGCGUGAGCAUCUUAUUUGCCCUUUAAGCCUUACCCUGGGAAUAAAAUAUAGCCUUUAUCACUGUUUUUGGAAUAUCUUGGAAGUGCGUAAAACUGCUUCAGUUUAUUAUGUAGAAGUGCAUUUCCAGAUUUCUGGAGUGUGGAUCGAAGAUUUUCAUACCAGCAGUAGGGUCUCAACCUUGUUUUUCUUAUCUCUUGGCAAGAAAGCAAAGCUGGCCAUUGGGGUAUAAUAAACCUUGUGUACACAGCUGCAGGAGGGAACAGGGAGGUGGCUGUGCUUGGAGGCCGGGUGUUUUGCCGACGAUAAUGGGGCAUCUCUGGCACCAUGUUGCUGGUCGGAACAGUUUUGGAGUUGGAUUUUGUCCUGCAGUGAUGUCUUUGAAGAGGAAAGCACUUUUGAAUAUUUGCAUUGCUUUGAAGCCAGUGCCAUGGAGAUAUUGUGACUUAUUGCCAGUCAGAGGCAAAGCUGAGUGUGUGAGGUUUUGAACAAAGGUUGUUGAAAAAAGGAGAUAAUCAUUAAUUUUUUCAGUAAAAUUCAUUGAACCCCAAGGGCAAUUUGGAGGGGUCAUAGCUGUUUUUAGAAUCUGUUGCUAAUCACUGUAUAUCGUAGAUAUUAAGCCUAGGUUAAGAGCAUUAGUGUGGGUACAGAGUUUAGAUUUGCCAGUUUGUGACUUUAGGCAUGUUUAACCUUUCUAAGUCUGUUUUUCCAUCUGAAGAAUGGACAUAGAGAAAAUUUAUCACUGGGCUUUUUGUGGGGGACAGAUGAGGUAAGGCAUAAUGCAUUUAAAGUGGCAGGCACAGUCUAAAUACUACCUAGUGCUCCUGCACAGGCAUAGAAAAUGGAAAAUUGUUUAUAUAUUUUACCCUCCUCCAAAACACUCUUAGACCAUCUGAUUUUUAUUUGACUUAUCUGAAUCCUGAAUAGUUUUUACUGGAUCAUACUCUGGUAUCUGGACUGUCCCUGGUUUGAAGGUGGUGCUGCUGGGUGAGAAGCCAAGGAUGAGAGAGGCUGUGUUUUGGAGGCCCAGUCUGUCAAAACUGAGGUGGCAUUUCUAGUUCCUGAUAGAGUGAGACAGAUGCAAAGGUCAUGGGAGCUUUGAACAGUUUCUAUGCAUUAUGUGUUGUUUUUCAUCUUCUGGAAGUGGGCUGGAAUUUGUUUUCAGCAGCUAAGUUCAUUAUGUAGUUGCCUCUAAGCCAUGCCUCCCCUUUUCCAUGUUUGUGAAAAGCAAAACAAAACCACCAGGCACAUUAUCUUUUACGAGGACCUGGAGAUUGACUAGCUGACACCCCCAGAUUUCACAUUUAUGUUGAGAUAAGGAGAAUAAUGUAAGUCACCCAGACUUUUUGUCAUUCUGCAUUUUUAUUCACAGGGAUGAACAGAAGCUUGCAGAUUGGGAGAAAGGGGGGGGCAGAACCAGUUGUUUUCAGGUGGACCCAAAUAAUGCAUCUGCUUUGAUAACUGCCUAUCUCGAUUUGCUUGGAAAGGGCAUAGAGUAAUAAAUAGUUUGUGGGAGUGUGAAGAAUGAGCCUUUAGACUGACCCAACUUGUGGAAAUUCAGAAAAUGCAGAAAUGUACGUUCUUCCAGCUUGUGAAUGUUGAACAAUGGAAUUGUUAGAAGAACUUUUGAAACUUGUUCUUUUUUUGAAAGUAUUAUUGUGCUCGGUUGGCUACAUGUGCUUUGGUCUCAAAAAUUUGUGCCUUAAUCACAUUGCUGGGGAGGCUGUGGAUUUCACUAUCAACAGAAAGUAAUGUAAGAUGUGAUAUCUUUUCAGCAGGACCUAAGGAGAUUUUCUCGAAAGAAAAGGGGAAAAUGCCGCUCUUAAGCAAAAAAUCUGGACCAUGUUGGCAGACAUACGUCUUUGAAACAUACCAGCAGAGAAUUAUUUAAUCAUUUGCCCCUUAGUUUUAUCUUGAUCACUCCUAGCGUGAUUUUUUCCCCCUCUUAGUUAUGCAGCAGCCUACUGGCUGACAUUUAACUAUUGAUUGUUCAUCCUGGGGAAUGAAUUACUGUGAUUUAUAGUCAAGGGUACAGAUGUAAAGAGACAGAAAGGAUCAGAUGUUUCUAGUGCCUUUUUUCUUCCUCUGAUGGCUUCUCCCAGAAACUUGAUAAAAGCACCAACACUAAAACAUGUUUACAAUAAGAAAGCUGUUUAUUCAUCUUAAGUAGAAAAUUCUAUAAGUUUAUGUAAAAUUUUGCCCAUGUGGGAACAAUUAGUCUUUUAAUUUGAGUUGUGUAUUGUAAUUCCAUGGAUGGAGAUGGGUGGAGGUUGGGCCGAGGGGAAGCUGAGGAGGCAGUGGUUACCAGCAUUAGCUCCUGCAGAGCCAAGAGAAUUGAGUCAUUUUGCUGGGCUUAGCAACAAGAACUUUCAGGGACUUCAUGGCAGCGUGAC
rnacentral:lncRNA from 1 species